GCUUGCUUCUCUUGAGAGCGGCGGACGGGUGAGUAAUGCCUAGGAAUCUGCCUGGUAGUGGGGGAUAACGUUCGGAAACGGACGCUAAUACCGCAUACGUCCUACGGGAGAAAGCAGGGGACCUUCGGGCCUUGCGCUAUCAGAUGAGCCUAGGUCGGAUUAGCUAGUUGGUGGGGUAAUGGCUCACCAAGGCGACGAUCCGUAACUGGUCUGAGAGGAUGAUCAGUCACACUGGAACUGAGACACGGUCCAGACUCCUACGGGAGGCAGCAGUGGGGAAUAUUGGACAAUGGGCGAAAGCCUGAUCCAGCCAUGCCGCGUGUGUGAAGAAGGUCUUCGGAUUGUAAAGCACUUUAAGUUGGGAGGAAGGGUUGUAGAUUAAUACUCUGCAAUUUUGACGUUACCGACAGAAUAAGCACCGGCUAACUCUGUGCCAGCAGCCGCGGUAAUACAGAGGGUGCAAGCGUUAAUCGGAAUUACUGGGCGUAAAGCGCGCGUAGGUGGUUUGUUAAGUUGGAUGUGAAAUCCCCGGGCUCAACCUGGGAACUGCAUUCAAAACUGACUGACUAGAGUAUGGUAGAGGGUGGUGGAAUUUCCUGUGUAGCGGUGAAAUGCGUAGAUAUAGGAAGGAACACCAGUGGCGAA
rnacentral:rRNA from 1 species